UACAGAUUCAGAGUUUAUAACACAUCAUUGGAUUCGCCAAGGCCGUGUCCUCCUGAGAUAAGAAGAGCGACAAGGAGAUGGAGAGCUCGGUCUUUUUUUCGUGGAGCUGGCGCUGCUGCAGUACGGCCUAGUCCAGUCUAAGCCCUCCAUGGUUGCUGCUGCUGUUUCGGCAACUAGGCUCACCCCCGAAGAAGACCCCUAUGUGGAUUGACAAUCUAAAUUAUAGAUUUUCCAGAUCGGGGAAGGUGCGGAGCUUGCCUGAUUGCUAGCUAUUUUGCCUGUUCUGUUUACCCACUAUGCAUGUGUUGCUGCUUCUAGGAGCCCUAAAUUUAGGGUCAGUACCACGCCGACAAGCCAGGCAGUCGGCCUUUGCACCACGAACUGCUGCAGUUUGAUCUUGCGCAAGUGGGAAAUUCCCUCAUGCUGAGUGUAUCAGUAACACACUACGCUCCAAGCACGUCUCCUCCUGGUCGCCCAUCAGUCCUCUUGUUCCUUGCUGCUUCUCCUAACAUCACCAUAAAAGUUUUGCUAGGAAAAAAAUGUGUGGAUAAAAAGAAGAUUGCAGUGACAGUAGUUUUGGUUGCCAUUUCUCUCUAUAGCAGAUUGCAUCCGCACAAAAAAUGCUACUGCAGUUUACUCUAUGUGUAAAAUGAAUAAGGUUCAAUUCACAAAAACAUGUGGAAGUUCGUUUGGGAAACUCUGCAUUCUAUUUGAUUAUGCCAAGAUGUACAGGAUGACUAUUCUUUAUUGUGUGCCUUUAGCACAAUUUAAAUUUACUAGUUGACCAUAUGUGUAAUGGUUUUUUUUGUUUAUAGGAAAACUAAUAUGUGAGCAUAUUUCAGGUUUCUUUGUGAACUUGUAAUGUUACUGUACAUGAACUUGUACAUUACCUUGUUAUCAGUUCAUGUGUAUGUGUGUUGGUAACCAUUUACCGUUG